rnacentral:rRNA from 1 species
AGUGAACGCUGGCGGUAGGCCUAACACAUGCAAGUCGAACGGCAGCACAGGAGAGCUUGCUCUCUGGGUGGCGAGUGGCGGACGGGUGAGGAAUACAUCGGAAUCUACUCUGUCGUGGGGGAUAACGUAGGGAAACUUACGCUAAUACCGCAUACGACCUACGGGUUAAAGCAGGGGCUCGUCGGACCUUGCGCGAGUGAAUGAGCCGAUGUCGGAUUAGCUAGUUGGCGGGGUAAAGGCCUACCAAGGCGACGAUCCGUAGCUGGUCUGAGAGGAUGAUCAGCCACACAGGAACUGAGACACGGUCCAGACUCCUACGGGAGGCAGCAGUGGGGAAUAUUGGACAAUGGGCGCAAGCCUGAUCCAGCCAUACCGCGUGGGUGAAGAAGGCCUUCGGGUUGUAAAGCCCUUUUGUUGGGAAAGAAAUCCAGCUGGCUAAUACCCGGUUGGGAUGACGGUACCCAAAGAAUAAGCACCGGCUAACUUCGUGCCAGCCGCCGCCGUAA